GAUGAACGCUAGCGGCAGGCCUAAUACAUGCAAGUCGAACGGUAUUCAGAUGCUUGCAUUUGAAGAGAGUGGCGCACGGGUGCGUAACGCGUAUGAAACCUACCUUUAACAGGGGGAUAGCCUCUCGAAAGAGAGAUUAAUACCGCAUAAUAUCGGGAGUGGGCAUCCACAUUCGAUUAAAUAUUUAUAGGUUAAAGAUGGUCAUGCGUGACAUUAGCUAGUUGGAGAGGUAAUGGCUCACCAAGGCGACGAUGUCUAGGGGAUCUGAGAGGAUGGCCCCCCACACUGGUACUGAGACACGGACCAGACUCCUACGGGAGGCAGCAGUGGGGAAUAUUGGACAAUGGGGGCGAACCCUCGAUCCAGCCAUGCCGCGUGUGUGAAGAAGGCCCUCGGGUUGUAAAGCACUUUAAGCGGGGAGGGAAGGCCUGAUGGUUAAUACCU
rnacentral:rRNA from 1 species